rnacentral:lncRNA from 13 species
GUCGUUGCGCUGCCGUCGUUAUUACCGCUGCUCUUGCCAUAUUUAUUGUUGCUCCGCCGAUGAUAGAAUAUUGCGACGUAAUAAUUAUGUGCUUCUCAAGUGCUUCGUGUCUAAAUUGUGCACAGUUGGAGAGAGUGUCGAACGUGAAUGCGGACGAUGGACGAGUGUCGUGUACAGAAAUCAUGCUCGUUCGUGAUGUACGGCAGCUUAUCGCAUUGUUUCGAAUAAAGUUUUCGCGCGCACGUAUUCACUCGAAAGGACCCAUCAUCGGUGUAAUAUCGCGAAUGUCGAAUAGCACGUUAGUCGUGCGAGAAUCAGUAAUUCUUUAACGAAAGCAAGUCGUUUUGUAUCUACGCGUGCAUUUAUUCGAACUCUCGCCGUUGUUCCGGCAGUGCUACGCGAUGUGUGUGACGUAUGUGUCGAUCACUCUCUGUUUACUUCGCCAUUUUGUGUAUUUAUUUCUCGGGCGUACAGUACUUUCCAUGUUUUUCAAAUGCAAAAAUACGAUGUUGUACGUAAAUACGAUAUUGAAAAUGGCGAAUUUAAUAGCAAACGGUUGCGUCUUAAGACGUAAAUCACAGUAAUGAGUAGAAUUAUGUCAUGUAAGAUACCACGUCGUAAGAUAUUCUUUCGUGUAAUUACAGUACCUGUUGCAUCGAGACAAGUUAAAUUUUCGUACGUGUUUUAUUCGUGUGUGCUUUCGUGUGUGAUAUCCGCAAUAUCAAAAAUCAUCAAAUAAAAUUUGAUGAUUAUUUAAUGUACAAUUCGAGGAGACCAGUGGAACGAGAGUAUUUCAUCAGGAAGACAGCAUCCGUCCGAACAACUCGGAUCAAUUGGAAAGGGAUUGUAGCAGCAGCAACAACAAUCGGCAGCCGGGCCAAGUGCACUUGAAGACCACUGCCGCGUUCGCCUGAAAACAGGAAGAUGAUAGGCCAUUAGCGAUCAUCGACGCAGGGUGUGUUACGUGAUGAUAGACCAAUGAACCUCGCAUGUUCGUAAGAAUUGUAUGAAAUGGAAAAAGAGUAACGGACAGCUAUGAUUUUUUUUCGGUAAGUAUUUUGUUCUGCACACAUUGUUCCGUAAUGCAUCAAUUAGCAACAUAUCGUGAUGCAAUUCGCGCGUGGCCGCAUGCUGGCGACAGAACCAGCUUUAACCAUCUAGCUAUUCUACCUGAAUGGUCAGUUUCCAGCUAUCGAUUGAAACGUCAUACGAAACACAUUUUCCGAUAAUCCAUUCCAAAAAUAAAUUAUUAUUUCCUACCUUUUGCUGUUAAAAUUAUAAGUUCUAGUACUUUCAUUAAUAUAGCUCGCGUUUGCUUAUUAAAAUAAACGUCGACAUUAUUUUACUACAUCAACAUGCCGUAGAGUUGAAAAUGCCCUCGUGUCAUCCCCGUUCAACAUCCUCCAUAUUUAUUUACUCCCCUUUGUAUUUUAAUUCUCAUCGAACAGAACCAUUGCCUUACGCGGCGAUCGCAGGCGAGACGUGUUAUUAAUCCGUAAGAGUUCGAGCGUCUUAAGACGGCCCUGCGUCGGAGUCAUGCCAAGCCGUGACGCCAGAGAGGAAAAUCGAUGCCGCGCGGCAGCCGCGCCGCGCGCACGUUUCUUUGUUUACAUCGGCCGGCCGGCGGCGGAGGCGCCGCGUUGCGCCGGUCACGACGAUACGGUCACGUGGUAUUGAUCGCAGGAGAGCGAGGAACACAAGCCCACGCGGUCCGCGAUGAUCGCGUGUUGAGCGCGAAGGACGGCGACGCUGAACGCGGGACCGGCAUCUCUCACGAACGGGAGAGGAGGUCCCCCGCGCGCACGCCCGUCCUCACCUGCGUGUAAUCGUCUUCUACCCGAGUGACGAUUACCGCGGACGACACCUGGAUCUCUUUUAUUCUCGGGCGCGCGUCCAACGCGGAUAGAAUGACGAUUUCAACCGCUCAGUUUCCGUUAAAGGGGAGAUUCCGGGUACUUUUACAAACGGAUUAGUCUUAACUUUUAAUCAUUUGAUCGCAUUUUCACAGCAUCAGCACCAGCAAACUGCUGCAACGAGUUGAGUGUAGAUAGUAAAUCGAAACGCACUGGAAUCGAGUUGGAUUUCGGAUUACGAUAUAUUUUAUUAAGGAGACGCGAAAGUGUUAGCUUUCAACGCUUAUUUAUAGCUAUGCACGUCGAAAAUCGAUCUCGUCGGUUUCUGUACCUGUGUCGGCUUGUGAAUUUAUAGAUUUUCGUACGUUGAUGAAACUUGACGAGUAUCAGGAUGUGGCUGAUCACUCGUUAACGGUCUCACGAUCUUGGCGAUUAAUACACGCGACGAGAAUAUUUUCCAGCAUAACGGCCGGGAAUCAAGAAGACAAUCAUGGAGUUCGUUAACGCGCCGCGGUGAAGGAUAAUCCUUCAAAGUAUUCCGGAUUAAUAAGCUGUCGGACUACGACGAAAAUAAUUCCUUUAAGUACGCAUUCGCGCGAUAGCACGUCGCCGGGCCGUUCGGUCUAGCUAAUGAGCGCAUGAAUAUUUACGAGUGACUUUAACGACUGCACUUAAGACACGAUCUCGGAAACCGCGCCGCGCUGUGCUGCGCUGCACCGCACCACCGUCGAUCGCUUCCCUCAAUUUUGCGCGGCCCUGCUUACUAUGCGCCAUUAACGCUCGCCUCUUUCGAUUCUCACGCGGCAUACCGGGUGGCGCGACGGGAUGACAACCACGCGAAGGGGGGGAGAGAGAGAGAGAGGGACCGAUAAACAUUCGCGGGAAUAUCGACUGAAAGACGCGCGCGUGAUAAGUUAGAUCGGUGGCGAGAGGCUGCCGCUUCGGCGGGUUUUAAGAGCUUCGCUAGUGCAGUGACAUCAGCUCCGAAACGGUACACCGGGGAGAUACACCGGUGCACCGCGCAGUAUACCGGGUGGCGGGUGACGAGAGGCCGGCGACCGAGCGCCCGCGAUACCAGGCGAUGUCAGGCAUUUCGCGCGCGUAUCGAUGCGCAACGUAUUCCGGGAGGAUAAAAAAAAACACGUCCGAUAGAUGAGGACGUGCCAUGUGGAAAGAGGUGAUUUCCACGAUUUCGGGGACCUCUCGCUGACGUACGUGACAUCAUCUCCGAAACGGUACAUGCCGGAACAACGUACGCCACGACUCAGCCAUUGCCGAGGUCACAGACCUAUGCCGGUCGGCAGGCAACGCUCUCCCUUUGCCUUGCCUUGCCCAUGCCUCUCGGCGUUAGUUUGGCGUGCUCCGCAGAACUUCGCAGCAGUCCUUCUCCCUACUACUCUCCAUCCCCCAUCCCCCCGCUCCUCCUCUACGACCUUUAGGAUACGACGCGGUAAUACUGAGAUGGCAUUAGUCUAGAGGGCACCACGCAUCCCGGUGAGUAUCUUCGCGUGCGCGAUAGCAACGCGAAUCUACUCUCUCGGAUACUC